CUUUGGACUCUGAAAGUUGUCCCUUUCUUUAAAGAGAAUAAAUAGAAAAGAAUGUGGUUGGGAGCGAUGGUGAAUCACAAGAUUGGAUCAGAAAUUUUUUAAAAUUCCCCCUUUUUAGACAGUGAGUCAAUUUGAUCAGUUCGCUUUAUACUAUUGACUGAUGAAGGUUUGAAAGUUCUCUUUGCAGAAUAAUUUUUUUGUUGUUGUUCAGUUCUACAUUAGAAAAAUAUUGGUUUGGGAAUAUGAUAAAAAUUUAGAUUUUUUUUUUUCUUUUGGUAGUUCUUUCUCAAUAAUAAAUGAACCACUUCUAAAAGUAAUCAUGAAGUUUGGGAAGCUUUUGUUCACAGAGGUUUGAUAGUAUAGAGAGGAACAUGAUUAAUUACUCAGACCAGCCUGUUCUUUGUUUUCUUCAUUUUAGGGAAAAAAAUUAUGUAGAUACCAUGUGAAGACAGAAAUAAUUGUGGUAAGAUCGUGAAUCCUGUUGAUAUUUGCCCAAUGUUUUAAGGUUAUGGGUUUGGAUUCUCAAUAUAUCAUUUACCGUAUGCAUUAGUCUCUACCUUCUGUUUCUGUGCAUUUUUCAGUUUGUAUAUGUCCAUGCUAUUUUGCUUUUGGAUACAUUUUCUAAUUAAAAACCACAUGAGAAAUAUAAUCAGUAUAUAAACCUUAAUGUGCACAUAAUAAAUAAAUGGCUGCAGUGAUA
rnacentral:lncRNA from 1 species